GGAGUGUUUUCAAAUAUCGAUUUGUAACGGCUCCUUUCCUCCAUUUCGUGACUGCUGUCAUCUCUAACACACGGAAGAACAUCCACAUAAACCCUGAAAUUGUUCAGUAUUCUCUCUCAAACAGCCGUUUGAGUCACCUCAAAUGUAGCAGAGGGCCAGAUUGAAACGGUCCCAUGCACUUCACUUGCAAUGCAGA